GCCAUGGCCUCACCCCCCAGGUGGCCGGUUGCCUGCUAGGCUCACAGGUGCUCCACCCUGGCUUCCCAGCUGGCUCUGCUCACCCUCCGGGCGCUUUCUGCCUCAGGGCCUUUGCUUUUGCUGCUGGGUCUGGAUUCAUCCAGUGCUAGCUGCUUUCCACCCUGCAGGCUGGGCUUCGACGUCACCUCUUCCCAGAAGCCUCUGCAGCUGCCGCUCCAGCCAGGGUCCCCAGUGCUCACUCUGCCACCCCACCUGUGUCCUCCAGGCACUGCACACUUUCAGACUGGGAGGGAGAGAGAUGCCGCACACAGACGGAGAGAAGCAGAGCAGCCGGAGAGUCGGGGAGGCAGACAUGGGCCGAGGCGGGACAGAGGGACAAAGAGAAGCUGAGAAGGAACUGGAGACAAAGGUUGCACCGAGGGUCUGCAGGCUGCAGACGCACCUGACGCUCUGCAGACGUGUCAAGGUCACUAGCGACAGAAAGAUGGAGGAAUCGGCUCGGGCACAGACUGACCCUGGGUCUUGGAACAGAAAACGGGUCUGGGGGCAAAGGGAGAUGUCUGAGUAAAGCCAGUUUGCUUGGUACAGGUGGCACACACCUGUAAUCCUAGCUGCCGGUAGGCUGAGGCAGGAGGACCACAAGUUCAAGGCCAGCCAUGUCAUAAAAUCAAAUCAAAACUAAAAAGGGCUGAAGGUCUCCAGAGAGAGAGAGAGAGAGAGAGAGAGAGAGAGAGGCCAAGCCUGCAGGGUGGUGAACAGCACUGCCCCAAAGUGAAUUUCUCCGCUGGGUUGUUUGUGGCUUUGUAAGUGGGUG
rnacentral:lncRNA from 1 species